rnacentral:misc_RNA from 1 species
GAAAUGCGAUAAGUAAUGUGAAUUGCAGAAUUCAGUGAAUCAUCGAAUCUUUGAACGCACAUUGCGCCCCCUGGUAUUCCGGGGGGCAUGCCUGUUCGAGCGUCAUUUCACCACUCAAGCCUCGCUUGGUAUUGGGCGACGCGGUCCGCCGCGCGCCUCAAAUCGACCGGCUGGGUCUUUCGUCCCCUCAGCGUUGUGGAAACUAUUCGCUAAAGGGUGCCGCGGGAGGCCACACCGUAAAACAACCCCAUUUCUAAGGUUGACCUCGGAUCAGGUAGGGAUACCCGCUGAACUUAAGC